GUCUCUAUAGCAUAAUGGAUAGUGCGGCAGAUUCCGGUUCUGUUGGUGCGGGUUCGAUUCCUGCUAGGGACGCCA
rnacentral:tRNA from 1 species